rnacentral:rRNA from 1 species
UUUCGCAAUGCCCGAAAGGGUGACGAAGCGACGCCGCGUGUGGGAAGAAGGCCUUCGGGUUGUAAACCGCUGUUGGGAGUUAGGAAGUGUGGGAGUGUUAAUAGCGCUUCCACUUGACUAAAGCUCCAGAGGAAGCCACGGCUAACUCUGUGCCAGCAGCCGCGGUAAUACAGAGGCGGCAAGCGUUGUUCGGAAUUAUUGGGCGUAAAGAGCACGUAGGCGGCUCUGCAAGUCAGCUGUGAAAGCCUUCCGCUUAACGGAAGAACAGCAGUUGGAACUACAGGGCUUGAGUGCGGGAGGGGAGAGUGGAACUUCUGGUGGAGCGGUGAAAUGCGUAGAUAUCAGAAGGAACGCCGGCGGCGAAAGCGGCUCUCUGGUCCGUAACUGACGCUGAGUGUGCGAAAGCUAGGGGAGCAAACGGGAUUAGAUACCCCGGUAGUCCUAGCCGUAAACGAUGGGCACUAAGUAGAGGGGUUUU